rnacentral:rRNA from 1 species
UACGGGGGGGGCAAGCGUUGUUCGGAAUUACUGGGCGUAAAGGGCGCGUAGGCGGCCUGCUAAGUCGGAUGUGAAAUCCCUCGGCUCAACCGAGGAACUGCAUCCGAUACUGGCGGGCUUGAAUCCGGGAGAGGGAUGUGGAAUUCCAGGUGUAGCGGUGAAAUGCGUAGAUAUCUGGAGGAACACCAGCGGCGAAGGCGGCGUCCUGGACUGGUACUGACGCUCAGGAGCGAAAGCGUGGGGAGCGAUCCGG